GCCUCGGUAGCUCAGUGGAUAGAGCAGCGCUCUCCUAAGGCGCGUGUCGCAGGUUCGAUUCCUGCCCGGGGCA
rnacentral:tRNA from 1 species